UCCCAGACUCCUACGGGAGGCAGCAGUGGGGGAUAUUGGACAAUGGGGGAAACCCUGAUCCAGCGACGCCGCGUGAGUGAAGAAGUAUUUCGGUAUGUAAAGCUCUGUCAGCAGGGAAGAAAGAAAUGACGGUACCUGACCAAGAAGCCCCGGCUAACUACGUGCCAGCAGCCGCGGUAAUACGUAGGGGGCAAGCGUUAUCCGGAUUUACUGGGUGUAAAGGGAGCGUAGGCGGUGCAGCAAGUCAGAAGUGGAAGCCCGGGGCUCAACUCCGGGACUGCUUUUGAAACUGUUGGACUAGAUUGCAGGAGAGGUAAGUGGAAUUCCUAGUGUAGCGGUGAAAUGCGUAGAUAUUAGGAGGAACACCAGUGGCGAAGGCGGCUUACUGGACUGUAAAUGACGCUGAGGCUCGAAAGCGUGGGGAGCAAACAGGAUUAGAUACCCUCGUACA
rnacentral:rRNA from 1 species